rnacentral:rRNA from 1 species
AGAGUUUGAUCCUGGCUCAGGACGAACGCUGGCGGCGUGCUUAACACAUGCAAGUCGAACGGAAAGGUCUCUUCGGAGAUACUCGAGUGGCGAACGGGUGAGUAACACGUGGGUGAUCUGCCCUGCACUUCGGGAUAAGCCUGGGAAACUGGGUCUAAUACCGGAUAGGACCACGGGAUGCAUGUCUUGUGGUGGAAAGCGCUUUAGCGGUGUGGGAUGAGCCCGCGGCCUAUCAGCUUGUUGGUGGGGUGACGGCCUACCAAGGCGACGACGGGUAGCCGGCCUGAGAGGGUGUCCGGCCACACUGGGACUGAGAUACGGCCCAGACUCCUACGGGAGGCAGCAGUGGGGAAUAUUGCACAAUGGGCGCAAGCCUGAUGCAGCGACGCCGCGUGGGGGAUGACGGCCUUCGGGUUGUAAACCUCUUUCACCAUCGACGAAGGUCCGGGUUCUCUCGGAUUGACGGUAGGUGGAGAAGAAGCACCGGCCAACUACGUGCCAGCAGCCGCGGUAAUACGUAGGGUGCGAGCGUUGUCCGGAAUUACUGGGCGUAAAGAGCUCGUAGGUGGUUUGUCGCGUUGUUCGUGAAAUCUCACGGCUUAACUGUGAGCGUGCGGGCGAUACGGGCAGACUAGAGUACUGCAGGGGAGACUGGAAUUCCUGGUGUAGCGGUGGAAUGCGCAGAUAUCAGGAGGAACACCGGUGGCGAAGGCGGGUCUCUGGGCAGUAACUGACGCUGAGGAGCGAAAGCGUGGGGAGCGAACAGGAUUAGAUACCCUGGUAGUCCACGCCGUAAACGGUGGGUACUAGGUGUGGGUUUCCUUCCUUGGGAUCCGUGCCGUAGCUAACGCAUUAAGUACCCCGCCUGGGGAGUACGGCCGCAAGGCUAAAACUCAAAGGAAUUGACGGGGGCCCGCACAAGCGGCGGAGCAUGUGGAUUAAUUCGAUGCAACGCGAAGAACCUUACCUGGGUUUGACAUGCACAGGACGGUUAU